UAUUGUUGCUGUUAACCAUAGAACAACAGGUAGGGGUGGGAGACAUGGGGGAUGAGAAGGAGAUGGCAUAGCCACACCCUGAGUUCAGAAGAGCAGAAGAUCCCAUCUAAAAUUCCCAAUGAUGGCAGCCAUUCUCUCCCCAGGCAUCUGACUGGCACCUCAGUGAUGGGAGUGAAAUAGCAUUUAUUAUCUGGUGACAUUUCGCAGGCAGCUUUUUACCUCCGCUUCCCCUGAGAUGUGAUAACAAAAGAUUGUCUGAUCUUCCUUUUACCCAUCUCCCCAGCUCCCUACCACCCCCAGUUCCCUUUCAUCCCUGCGUUUGAGGGCAACUGUUCUUCUGUCUCGAGGUUGGGCUGGCCAGAGCAAACAUAGCUUUCCCGGGGGAGACCAGGCCAUCUUUCUUCCUCUUACUUCAAAGGGGCUUUGGAACGCUCCACCCCAUGGGCUGAACAGAAUGUAUUUCAUUUUUUAGGAGGCUGGAAUCAGCUGCCGAGAAGGGCAGGGGCACCUUGGGCUCUCCUUCCCUUCCCCAUCUCCAGGACUCAGUAAGGAGGGAGGGCAUGAAAUCUCAGGCUCCUGGGCGGGGCUGGGGAGGCCGGCCUUGUCACAGGCAGGAGGGGCCGCAUUCCUUCCUCAGCAGCUGGUGGAGCUGGGCCUGAGCAGGACUUCCCCAAAGGACUGAGAAGGAAGCCUCCACUCUGUCGUCGCUCUCUGGAUCUCAUGAUGCAACAGUAGAGAGAAGUUGUUGUCUCACCUCACCUCUCAACCAUCUCCAAAAUAACCGGUCAGAGUAGCAGUACUUGAGCAUCCAUCCAUCCACGCAUCUAGACAGUUUCCCAGAUCUGGACCCCGGUGAGAAAAGGGAACUAAUCGGACUUCUUUUUCUGAAAUUCCAGCUUGGAAUUGCCUUCGGAAGACAUCCUCAAUCCUGCCCCAGCCUUACGAUUGUUUUGUGUCAUUAGAUGAAGUCACUUCACUUCUGAAGCUCACUUGCCUUUUCUAAAAACCGGAGGCUGAUAAGGAUUGCAGGAAACUCAUGGAGUUGUUCCGAGGUUAAAAUGAGAGUCUGCCUGUGGAAGGACAUUGCAGAUGAUAGAAGACACAGAUGUAAGGCAUCUACCUUAUCUUUACCAGUUUCAUCUUCUUCAUCUUCAUCUCAUUACCAUGGUCAUCCUCGUUAGCAGGGAAGAGCAGGAGUUCUCACGGCAGGAUAGGCUUCGCGGCUGUGCUGGGAAAUGCCUGUCUGAAGUAGGCCACACAUGGGCUGUGUGGAGAGCUGCACAAUAGAAUGGAAAAGAGCACUGAAUCAGGAGUAAAAAGAGCUGGGUGUUGACUUGGUACAUCCACAAACUAGCUGUGUAACCUUGUGGAUGCCGUGAAUGUCUCUGUGCUUCAGCCUCCUCGCCUGCAAGAAGUAUGGCAGAUUCACAUCUUGAAUUAUAUGGUGCCCAACCGUAUUAGUGAUUCUGAUUCCCUGGUGAAUAUGGCAACCAGUGAAUUGGGAAGUGGGGGUGAGUAUCAGCUAAAGAAAUGAAAGCACCAGCCUGGCAGGUAAACAGUUCACAGUCCCCCAGAGAUGGCACAGAAGGGCUGUAGUACUAGGGGAUGGGAGACUUGGCAUCUUAGACAAGUCACUGUUCCUGUCUUGGCCUUGGAAUUUUGAUCUGGAAAAUGGGGAUGGGGAAUUGUGGAUGACUAAAGAUUUCUGAGCUGCCUUCCAGCUCUGCUGUUCUGUGAUGGCCCAUGUGAGUCACAGGUAGGUGCUUCUGUGGUGGCCGGCUGGCCGUUUAUCUGGUGGCCUCCCCUCCUCCCUCCCUGCGGGUGGCCCCUCUCCCACACCCUUUCUAACACACUGGGCAUAACUGCUUUACAGCAUCCAUCUGGCUGCUCUUGGUGUGUCUCUGUGUGAGCAACUUCAGAACAAGACUUCUCAACUUUUAAAAAAAGCCUGAUUAAAAAAUUCUCUGUUGAUUAUUAAACAUGCUCAUUGUAGGGAAAAACAAAAUUCAUAAAGCAGAUAAAGAAUUCUAAUAAAUCUGAGACAUCUACUGUUAGCAUUUUGUUAUCUUUUCUUUUAGUCUCUUCUCU
rnacentral:lncRNA from 1 species